rnacentral:rRNA from 1 species
UACGUAGGCAGCGAGCGUUGUUCGGAAUUACUGGGCGUAAAGAGUGUGUAGGCGGUGCUCCCAGUCUGUUGUGAAAUCUCCCGGCUUAACUGGGAGGGUGCAGCGGAAACUAGAGUGCUAGAGGGUGGGAGAGGUAAGCGGAAUUCCUGGUGUAGCGGUGAAAUGCGUAGAUAUCAGGAGGAACACCUGUGGUGUAGACAGCUUACUGGACCACUUCUGACGCUGAGGCGCGAAAGCUAGGGGAGCAAACAGG